UCCGGUUUGUCACCGGCAGUUUCAUUAGAGUGCCCAACUGAAUGAUGGCAACUAAUGACAAGGGUUGCGCUCGUUGCGGGACUUAACCCAACAUCUCACGACACGAGCUGACGACAGCCAUGCAGCACCUGUGUCCAGGCUCUCUUUCGAGCACCAAGCCAUCUCUGGCAAGUUCCUGGCAUGUCAAGGGUAGGUAAGGUUUUUCGCGUUGCAUCGAAUUAAUCCACAUCAUCCACCGCUUGUGCGGGUCCCCGUCAAUUCCUUUGAGUUUUAAUCUUGCGACCGUACUCCCCAGGCGGCCAACUUCACGCGUUAGCUACGGUACUAAGGAAGUCUCCUUCCCCAACACCUAGUUGGCAUCGUUUAGGGCGUGGACUAC
rnacentral:misc_RNA from 1 species